GCCAUCCUUGGUCUCUAAAGCCAGCCGUAGUUGCUGCCAGAAGACCCCGGUUUGCUCCCCAGCUCUGGGCCAGCUCAGGUGAGAGGGAAGAAAAUGGAAUGAAAGGGAGAAUGACGUCGCUCUCAUAUCAAGGUGAGAGGCAAGAAAAUGGAAUGAAAGGGAGAAUGACGUCGCUCUCAUAUCAAGCCAUUACAUUGAGCCCAUCCUCCUCAAUCAAGGUGUUACAAGCCGCCUGUGAUAAGGACCUGUCUGCUACCUCUAGGGCAGUAGCCAGAGAGGCCCCACUGCCCAUCUCCAGCAUCAAGG